GUGUGGAGCUUGGCCUUCACCCUACAUGCAAUGCAGGGACACUGAAGGCUGUUAUCUAGUGAGGUUAACAUGAUGGAACUGAUGUUUUAAAAGAUCGUUUGGGCUACAGUAUGAAGGAGAACCCAGAAGAGGGAGAAGGAGAAUUGGAAGGUGCAAGAUAGUGAAGAGGGCACUGUAGUAAUCCACACCUGGAAUGACGGUGGUGUAUCAAUUAGCGCUUGCUUCUUGACAAACUACUUCCAAAAUGUACAGGCUUAAAGCACAAUCAUAUUUUAGUUCAUAAUUCUGGGAGUCAACAAUGUGGGCUGGGUUCAGCUGGGUGUGUCUUCCACUGAUCUCAGCAGGGCUCACUCAUCUAUCUAUAGUCAACUGCCAGUCACCAAGCUGAGGAAGUGAUGAGGGAGACUGAGCCUCAUGUCUCUUAUCAUCUAAGUCAGUUCAUAUUGUGGUGGUUGCUGGGCUCCAAAAGCAGUGAGAGAGAACAAGUCCCCAAAACUAGCAAUUGUCAAGUCUCUCCUUGUCAUGCUAGCUAUCAGCCCAUUGGCCAAAGCAAGUCACAUAGCCAAGCUCAGAGUCAUCAUAGGACAAAACUAUUCUAGGGCUUGGAGACAGGGAGGCAUGAAAAAAUUGGAGGCUACUUCGGCAACCUUCCUCAUGUGAUCUGGACCACGAUGGUGGAAGUAGAAACGGAUGCAUGGAUAAACAGAUACAACAUUUACUGCAAUUGCCAAAGAAGCUGCCCAUCACUGUCACGCCAGCUGCACAGUCUUCACUGAGGGAGCUUCCAAGUGCCAUUUUAUUAAUGUGGAGAGAAGAAUAACAGAUCAUAAAUGUUUGAGGUCUAUCCAGCCGGAGUACAGGGGAUUAUCUAUUAUCCUGUGAGCUCGUGUUUUAUUCAUCUUCGUGUUCCCGUGAAUUAUACAGUGCAAAAACUGCUUAGAAGGCUUCCCCUCCUAGACAGCCCAACAGCACCUCAACCUCAGCCGGAAUGAAACUGAAUGUGUUACUGCGCACCCAAACAGAGCUUCUCUUCCUGCUUUCUCUCUCCUGAAUUCUUGACCAGGCGCAGUGGCUCACACCUGUAAUCCCAGCACUUUGAGAGGCCAAGGCAGGAAGAUCCCCUGAGGUCAGAAGUUCGAGACCAGCCUGGCCAACAUGGCAAAAUCCCAUCUCUACUAAAGGGAGAAUGGGAAAUGGAAAUCUGGACCUUUCUAGCCCAGAAGAGAGUAGAAGGACAAAGAGAAGCUGAAGGCAGGCAGGUCACACUGAUUCGUAACAUCUGUGUGUCAUGGUUUCCCACCUACCAGCUAUGCUGCAGAGCAGGACAUCCAAAAUGUACAUUUUCCAAGAUCCUGGUCAGAUUCUACUCAGAAGGAGCACUCACAUGUGACUUGGAAGGCAGAAGAGAAGCGGUCAUCACAGUGGUGCUCCUCUGGCAGUGAGGGGAACAUGUGGGCUUUGGCAGAUGUGCGAUUUUGGGUGAGCCGCAAGAGUUCUGGAGGCAGCUGCAUCUGCUGGAGACCUUACAGCCUGCUGCCUCUCUCAAAGCUAAGUCAUCUCCUGUAUUAAAUUCCUUCCUUCUUGAAAUGCCUGGAGUUGUUUCCAUUUCUUUGAACAUCCCUGAUGCAAUGGAACUUAACAGUUCAUCUUAUUCUAUGGUGGAACAGAGAACAUAUUUUUAGGAAAUGUUAGCAAGAGAUGAGCUUUUAUAAAUCCCUCCCCUCCUUAACCCACCAGCAAAUCCUUUUGCCUUGUCUUACAAGUCAGCUUGCAUAGUCACUUCCUAAUCCUGUGAUGAUCACUCCAGGGCAAACACCCCUAGCUCCCAUCCAGUCCCCCUCAUCUAACAUAAGACGUAGACAGAGACUCAGCACUACAGCUUCUUCUGGGUCCCCCGCAUUGCUCUCAUGGUCAAAGGUCUUCUGUGGCUAUAUCCUCCCACCUCAGAGCUUAAACGCUCUUACCAUCCAGUCCCUCCAGAGCCUGGCUGUCCCCAGCCACCUUUACAGCACUUCCCUAGCCCAUCACAUCUCUAGCCAGGCUGUUCUCCCUCCUUUCACCAGCACACCACAUGCAUCAUGCCUUGCUUCCUUCGUUCAAGCUUUCCCUCCCCGAGAAUGCCCAACCACAUUUGCAGAGACAGCUCAAGUCUUAGCUCCUCCAUGAAGACUUCUCUAACCACACAAAAUUCCAUCAAUACCUUGCUCCUCAGAACUGAAAUAUUUGAGCCAAGGAGAUUGCCUACAAAGUCCAGCUCAAAUUGUUGACCCAGAGACUUGGGAGUUAAAUGCAUGGCUAGCUUUAAACUACCAUCAGCCCUCUGUAUCCAUAGGUUCCACACCUGUGGAUUCAACCAAGUGCAGAUAGGAAAUAUUUUUUUAAAAAAUUUCAUCAGUACUGAACAUGCA
rnacentral:lncRNA from 1 species